rnacentral:rRNA from 1 species
CUACGGGAUGCAGCAGUGGGGAAUAUUGCACAAUGGAGGAAACUCUGAUGCAGCAACGCCGCGUGGAGGAUGACACUUUUCGGAGCGUAAACUCCUUUUAUAUAGGAAGAAGAUGACGGUACUAUAUGAAUAAGCGCCGGCUAACUCCGUGCCAGCAGCCGCGGUAAUACGGAGGGCGCAAGCGUUACUCGGAAUCACUGGGCGUAAAGAGCGUGUAGGCGGAUUAAAAAGUCAGAAGUGAAAUCCUAUAGCUUAACUAUAGAACUGCUUCUGAAACUUUUAAUCUAGAAUAUGGGAGAGGUAGAUGGAAUUUCUGGUGUAGGGGUAAAAUCCGUAGAGAUCAGAAGGAAUACCGAUUGCGAAGGCGAUCUACUAGAACAUUAUUGACGCUGAGACGCGAAAGCGUGGGGAGCAAACAGGAUUAGAUACCCCCGUAGUC